UCCAGACUCCUACGGGAGGCAGCAGUGGGGAAUAUUGCACAAUGGGGGAAACCCUGAUGCAGCGACGCCGCGUGAGUGAAGAAGUAUUUCGGUAUGUAAAGCUCUAUCAGCAGGGAAGAAAAUGACGGUACCUGAUUAAGAAGCCCCGGCUAACUACGUGCCAGCAGCCGCGGUAAUACGUAGGGGGCAAGCGUUAUCCGGAUUUACUGGGCGUAAAGGGAGCGUAGACGGCAGCACAAGGCUGGAGUGAAAUGCCGGGGCUUAACCCCGGAACUGCUUUGGAAACUGUGCAGCUAGAGUGCAGGUGAGGUAGGUGGAAUUCCUAGUGUAGCGGUGAAAUGCGUAGAUAUUAGGAGGAACACCAGUGGCGAAGGCGGCUUACUGGACUGUAACUGACGUUGAGGCUCGAAAGCGUGG
rnacentral:rRNA from 1 species